rnacentral:lncRNA from 1 species
GGGGGUCUACCCAGAGAGAUCUGUGAAUUCUCUGUAAUCCAUGAAUGCAUAUUCCAGGCUGUGUGCCCUUACCUAUGGCAGUCAGCUGCCACCUGCUCAGAUGGAUGGACACCAGCAGCCUCCUCCCUGAUUGGGAAGUUAGACCACAUGGAGGGAAGACGACUUCUUCCCACAAGAAGGUUCCCUUCUGCUCGAGUGGACUGGAGCCCUGAGCUUAUUCCUCAAGGAAAUUUUCUCUCUGGAAGAAAUCCAAUCCUAUCAGACUCAGACAAAAGG